rfam:Pleurotus ostreatus PC15 unplaced genomic scaffold scaffold_04, whole genome shotgun sequence.
GGCUACCUAGCGCAAUGGUAGCGCGUUUGGCUUCGAUUGCUGACGGCACCAAAAGGUUGCAGGUUCGAGUCCUGCGGUGGUCA